CGUCCGCGAGGCUCCCGGGCCCGCCGGCGUCUGUGGGGAACUGGGGCGCUGGUCGGUGCGCGGGCUGGGACGCUAAGUCAUGAGGAAUUAAACUGGGAAACCUGGCGUGGGUCCAGGCGCCUUCCAGGAGGCAUCCGGCGCGGCCCGGACGUGCUUCUACCCAGAACCACCCCCUCCAGGCCGGGGUGCACUUAACGGGGCUAUACAAAGAGUCUGGUGGGUGACUGUGGGCCUCAUCCCUAUCCCGGGGUCUGAUAGGGAAGACUCUCGGGCCCCGCAGGGAAUAUCUGGCUAGUGCACCCUCGGCGGGAGCGCCACUCUCCCUCCUUGGGCGGCGCCCCCCACCUCUCAUCCCGCCCAAUCCGUUUUGCAAAGUCGGCCAAAACAAAAACAAACUUGGAGCGCUGAUAGGUGCGGAACUUUACCAGUCACUUAGAAGAUAGAAAAUGUUAGACACUUGCUGGCCUUUUGGGAUCACUGGUUAGGGAAAGGAAGGGAGGGAGCUGUGGGGAAUGAACGGAUAGUAGUGUAAUAAAGGAUUGUAGUGGUGUAAGAACGGGAAGCACCGUGGAAACGUCUGAGGAAGAUUUUCAGGGGAGCAGUAGCUGCUGAAUAGAAGUCUGUCAGGCAGGCCUGACAUUUACUAUGUACCAGGAACUGUGCUGGCCACCUUACAUAAUUGUCUUAUUUAAUCCCCAGAAACAGCCUUUUUUUUCUUUUUCUUUCUUUCUUUUCUUUUUUUUUUUUUUUUUUUACUUUAAGUUCCGGGAUACAAGUGCAGAACGUGUAGGUUUGUUACAUAGGCAUACGUAUGCCAUGGAGGUUUGCUGCACCUAUCAACCCGUCAUCUAGGUUUUAAGCCUUGCAUGCAUUAGCUAAGAAACAACGCUUUCCAAUGGGUAGUAUUAGCUAGUCUACGUUGCAGAUGAGGAAACAGGCUCAGAGGAGUUAAUUUGUCCAAUACCAGGGCCGAUGGGUAGCAGAGAAUUUGAACUCAAUUCUAUUUGAUUCCACUUGUCCAUUAUAUUAUGUUUGAUGAAGAAAACAGUGACAGAGAAGGAGCAUGUGCAAAGGCACAAAGACAUCAGAAAAGAGCUUGCUGGGACUACCACCAUCAAACAUUGGCUUAAAGCUGUUAUCACUUCUGUGUCUCGGUAUUUGUACCAAUAGAUUAUCUAGUUUGAAUACAUUUUUUUUUCUCUUUGGCAGACACUGUUAUUGCCCAUCUGAACUCGUCAACUGAGAAGGAAAGAGAUGGUUUAUGCUGUGAAUAAAAUACAGUUGUGCUGUGAUGUAAAUCCCCUCAUCCUGGAGCAGCUGAGCAAGGUCUAAGGCAGGAAGAACCUUCAAGCAGGUCAUGGCUGUAAGCCUCCUGAGUUUAUCCCAGCAAGUUGUAUAAGGGAUUAUCUUUUUAUCUGCAUAUUAUGACAUAUGUGAGGAUGUGUAAAGGUUUGGCAAGCACUGGCCUACUCAACAGCCAGUCCUACCUAACUUCAGAAAUCUUUCUUGUGGGCAAAUGUCAGGAGAUAGGGCCCAGGCCCAGGUCCAGCUACAAAGAAUGAAUACAAUUAAAGUGCUACUUCCAUUCACCUCACCCCAGAUUAGUUUAGGCAAGAGCUCAGGAUGCAGUUUUGACAUUUGAAAGAUAAGGAGUAGUCUGCUGGGAGCCUGAUAAAUUGAAACAGGGAUGGCACAGUUCUAAAUAUUAUUAAAUAAUAGUAAUAAUAUUAAGUAUUACUGAGGAUGUGACACUUCUGAUUGCUGCAGCCAUUGUAACGUGAGGCAAGCCAACCUACAGAGAAGGUAGAAAUGCUGAUAUUGGUGCAGGAGGAAUUUCAAAAGAAUCUGGAUCCUCAGUGUUAUAAAUGAGCCUCUGAUUUGGCCAGCCCUGGAGCUGACCUAAGCUGAGCUGAGGUUUUCACUUGUUUGCAACAGAAAGCAUCAUGACUGAUAAUGUUUCUCCUGUGCUUAUCUUCAGGAUAGAGACCAAAUCUUGGGUAUCAUCAUUGCCUUAGUACCUAGCACAGUGUUACACACACAGUAAAUGCUUGCUUACUAAAAGUAGGGAUGGCAGGAAAGUGAAGGAAAGUUCUAGGAACUGAAGUAAACUCUCUUCAUACGUAGAUAUCACUUGCUUUAUUUAAAACCAGUUUAUCAACAUCUAGAUUACAUUUAUGUAAUCUAGAUUUAUUUAUUACCAUAUUACAAUUAUGAUAAAGAGAUUUCUCAAUUUACAAAAGAAUAUAUGUCUUGACCAUGGAUUAAUUUAACUAUGUUCACUAGUAUGUAAAAUAUAUUUUCCUGCAGCCAUAAAAAGGAAUGAGAUCAUGUCCUUUGCAGGAACAUGGAUGGAGCCAGAAGCCUUUAUCCUCAGCAAACUAACGCAGGAACAGAAAACCAAACACUGCAUGUUCUCACUUAUAAGUGGGAGCUAAACAAUGAGAACACAUGGACAUGAAGAGGGGAACAACACACACUGGGGGAUUACUUGAGGGUGUAGGGUGAGAGGACAGAAGAUCAAAAAACUACCUAUCAGGUACUACACUUGUUACCUGGGUGGUGAAAAAAUCUGUACACACCAAACCCCAGAGACACACAGUUUACCUAUAUAACAAACUUGCACAUGUAUCCCUAAACCUAAAAUAAUAGUUUGAAAAAAGUGUGGUGUAUAUAUCAUAAUAUAUACACAUAAAUAGAUACACACACACACACACACACACACACACACACACACAUACACACAUACAUACCAUAAAAUAGACCCAGGAAGGGGAACAACACACACUGGGGCCUGUAGCGGGGAAGGGUGGGGAGAGGGAGAGCAUCAGGAGAGCUAAUGGAUGCUGGGCUUAAUACCAUGGUGAUGGGUUGAUCUGUGCAGCACACCACCAUAGCACACAUUUACCUGUGUAACAAACCUGCACAUCCUACACAUAUACCUGGGAGCUUAAAAGUUGAAGGAAAAAAUAAUAAAAUAUAUUUUCAUCCACACAACUCAGAAGCAAUUGAGUUCACCAUCAAAAUCUUUAGUUUUCUGUUGCAUUACCAAA
rnacentral:lncRNA from 10 species